rnacentral:lncRNA from 1 species
AGUUGAUCACAUGUAAAACUGGUUUCACAUUGCAAUUGAAAUGAACUUACCUGCAUUCAAACAAUACAUGUACGUCAGAAAGUUAUUAUGGUUGUUCUUAACCAGAAGUACAUUAUUAGAUCUCAUCUAAUUUGGUUUGGUUGUAUUUACCUCCAAUGAGAUGAUUUUCUUUGUGUAACCAUUAAAUAAGAAUGUAGAUGGAAAUGAAAGAAUAUAUGUUUUUUACAAUUUACUUUAAUUAUAUAAAAAAAUCUCUCUCAAUAUAAUAAAUUGUGUUGGCCUUGCAACACAUCAAAGUCAUGAUGAGAUUCAACAUGAUGUCAAGACAAAAAUGGCCAAAUACAACAAUAGUAAAUAAAAAUACUGACUAAAAACCAUCACUAUCAAAGUGAGCACACAUACAAAAUGUCAUGGUUAUCUCCCCUUCAAGAUUAAGCAAAGUUACCUCCCUUAAAGGGGACAGAAUUACCUCCCCUGUUAAUUAAUAUAAAAGCAUCGAGUAUUGUUAGGUUGAAAGGAUAGAAUGACAUGUUCUAUACAUGCUAAAUUUUGGCAAGACACAACAAAUGUAGAUAUAAAGAAUGCAAAUGGCACAAAAAAAUCACCCCAUUCUUUAUAAAAAAAAAUAUCACAGUUCCUAGAAAUUUCUUGUCAUCUUGCUAGUUUUUAAAUCAAGUUUCAUUAAAGCAAUUCUCAUUCAAUUAAAGGUUAUUAUGCACAUGAACAUAAAAUACUUUCUUGAAAAUGAACAAGAUUGUUUCAUAUUAUGAUUGUUCUUCACAAAACAAAAAAUAUCAAUCUCUGACAACACGAAGUUGUGUUGACAAUUUACAAAACCAUCGUAAUGAACUAACUAAGGAUAAUAAAUACAAGUCCCACCAAGUUCAAAUUUGGGCUACUGAUUUUAUAUAAAGUUCCAAAUGUUAAAAAGCCAUUGAUUAGAAGUUUUGAAUGUAGUGUCAGUGUAUAAAUGGAUUUCUGGAAAGUCAUGCCGUUAAUUAUGAACACUCAAAGCAUGUUAAAUUUGUUAGAAAUGUGUUAAUAAUAAAUAAUCAAAUUUACUAUUACAUAUACUAAUAUUUAUGGGCUAUGAUUUUUUGGGGGGUUAUUUUGUGCUGACAAGUUCACAUUAUGACGAAGCGAUGUCAAAUGUAAAUUCUCUUUGGAAGUCUAAAUUCUAUCUAAACUUUAAAUAACUUUUCUCUUUGAGGCUAACAUCACAAUGGGUAAUGAAUUUUUGAUUGUUUUUUUGGAGGUAUGCUGCCAUUUAUUGUCACAUGCAAAUGCUUCAGGUGUAGGUUCUAUAUUAUUGCUUAGAAGUAUUGUUGAGAUUUGACAGAUAAAACCUACCUUGCUAUGCUGUGGUUUGUCCAUGCAUCAGGUGAAGUUACAGAGAGAGAGAGAGGACUUGGGUCUGAGCAAUGGUUAGUUUAAGCUCAAAUCAAAUCAACAAGCAAAGAAAUUAACAGGAUAGUAAUUAAACUCAUUUCAUAACAAUUGGUUUGAAAAGACACCGAUAUUCAAACAUUAAUGGUCUGUAUCUUUUUUAAAUAUUUAUAUACCCCUGUGAGAAAUGUAUGGACUAAAAUUGGUCCUGAGCAUUCAGAUUCUAAAUAUAUACCCUGUAGAUACCCUGUAUACCUGUAAAAUGCCCAUCAAAUGGUCAUGUUCCAGACAAAUGCAUCAUAUUGAAAGAUUUUGUUUUAUAAUUUUAAACUUAAAGUAGACAAUCAUUAGUUACAUGACUAAUUGAACCCCCUACCCUUUCCGAUGCAAAAUGUUCCAUCUUAUCUCCUAUUUAAUGAUGUGACCAGGAGUCGAUUUCACAAAAAAACUUACAACUAAGAUUGAUCUUAAUGAUUUGUUCAUGACUUAAGGUUAAUCUUAUUAAGUUUUUUUGUGUAACCGACUCCAGAGUUUUAACACAUAUCUGAAUAUCAAUGUCUCUCAAUCAAUGGGGUCAACAAUGCAUGCAAUAAGUGUGUUAGUAAAAAACUGAACAGAAAACAUUAAAAUCCAUGUUUAUUAUCAUCAGCAGCAGCAGAGAUUAGCAGCAGUAUGGAGUAUUCAUAAUAUAUUGUUAAUGAGAUUCGUCAAAAUACUACAUAACAUACUGAACUGACAGAAUUUACUCAAACAUUUUAUACCCAAAUCUUUCCCAUAUCUUUUUUGUUCAACUGUACAAAUCUCUUAGUAUAUACCCUCAUUAUUCUGUCAGAAUCAGUAAUCAUCUAUCAAAGAAAUACAUACAAUUUUACCCCCCUCCCCUUUCCUGGGAAACUUGUAUAAAGGAUUUACUAUUUACAUACACGUACUACCAAUAUUUAUGGUUCUGAUUUUUCUAAACAUUAGAAAGAAGUCUCAGUAAUUCAAAGACAAUGGGCAGAUACAUAUAGUUUAACAGAAAGAUCAUGUGUCCUAUAUGCAUCCUUUUUGUAUAAAACUCGACAGAAUUUUCAAUAGCUUGAAAAAGAUGAUUUUUUUCUGUCUCAAUUACACAGAUCUAUUUUUGCAGUAAUUCCAAAUGUUUU